UUGUAACAUUUAUUUUCAUAUAUUGGCGAGAGAACGUUUACAGAGAGAGGGAAUUACGGUGUGCAGGGUGGAGAAGGACCGUACUCUCAUCUACAUUUGUUUGUAAAACCAGCCACGACUAAGAUCUUGAAAAGGAUAAAAGACAAAUGGUUGCGCCACAGAAAAAUGCUGUGAGGGAACUUUUCUCUGCCAUCUGUCACUUAAGCUCUUGGCUUCUUCCAUACAGCAUAGCUAUGAAAGAAAUAAUAACAUUACUGCUCUAGACUGGAUAUUUUAUAGUUGAUAAUAUUUUACAUCGUGCCAUUGUGUUUGAACGAAAUAAAUCAUAUCGACAAUUUCAGCAACAAUGACAGUGCUUUAUAUUUGGAAUAAAUUCAAUUAAAGUAUACAUUGCAUAAGAGAACGCUAUAUCGCUGAAUAUUGGGUGAACUAUUUGGCCUACUGUAUAAUCUGUGGUAAAUACAAAAGCAAACCUUCAAAAUACAUUUGCUUGUACUCAUCAGUAACUAAUCACUAGUCGCCCUCUCGUGGCGCUCAAUCACAGGUUCAUAAAAUGAAUUGUGUAAACUCACGACAUCGAUCAAGUAUUUUCACAAAGGUCGUUAGUCACCAGUGUAGUAAUUUCAGGGUGACACAAGAUGUUGGUUGACGGUGUUUAGGAUGUUUAUUUCUUAAUUCACAGUGGGAAUGCCCCUGUUACUUGUGGUAUCGCGGCAUUUCACUGCCACAUCCGCGCGAGAGAUGUUCUGUGCCAGGGGGCGUGUACAGGGCUCGCUCCUCUCACAGUGACGUAGGAGGUUUUUGGCCAUGUCGAACUUACAGUGACUGAAAUCAAAUAACGUUACCGAGCCAGCUAGCUAACUGAUGAAAAAUAGAUAUUCGACACAAUGUCAGAUGAAGAGGUUCCGUCAACUUCCAGAGAGCCUGAUCCUGAAAUGGAUGAGCAGGCAGCUGAUGACCCACCUUUCCAGCUCGAGACCCCCCCCAAGGCCGUGGCUAGAGUCGAGGGCGAUGUGGACCCUGAGUAUGAGGAAAAGCGGAAAACAGACCGAGCGAAUCGUUUUGAGUUCCUGUUGAAGCAGACAGAGCUGUUUGCACAUUUUAUUCAGCCUGCGUCCCAGAAAUCUCCCACUUCCCCUCUGAAAGUGAAGCUCGGACGCCCGCGUGUCAAACAGGACGAAAAACAAAACCUGCUCUCUAUCGGAGAUAAUCGUCACAGAAGAACAGAACAGGAAGAGGAUGAAGAGCUUCUGUCGGAGAGUAGGAAGGCUGCCAACGUCCUUGUCCGCUUCGAAGAGUCUCCCUCCUAUGUUAAAAACGGAACGCUGAGGGAUUACCAAGUCAGAGGGCUCAACUGGAUGAUCUCUCUGUACGAGAACGGCAUCAACGGGAUCCUCGCUGAUGAGAUGGGCUUAGGGAAGACCCUGCAGACCAUCGCGUUGCUAGGAUACCUGAAGCACUACAGGAACAUUCCAGGUCCUCACAUGGUGUUGGUUCCCAAGUCAACGCUUCACAACUGGAUGAAUGAGUUCAAGAGAUGGGUGCCAACUCUGAAGGCUGUUUGUCUUAUCGGAGACAAGGAUGCUCGGGCUGCGUUUGUGCGCGACGUGAUGAUGCCCGGAGAGUGGGAUGUCUGUGUGACGUCAUAUGAAAUGGUCAUCCGGGAAAAGUCAGUGUUCAAGAGGUUCAACUGGAGAUAUUUGGUCAUCGAUGAAGCUCACAGGAUCAAAAAUGAGAAAUCCAAACUCUCUGAGAUUGUGCGGGAGUUUAAAACCACCAACCGCCUCCUUCUGACCGGCACGCCGCUGCAGAACAACCUGCAUGAGCUGUGGGCCCUGCUCAACUUCCUCCUACCGGACGUCUUCAACUCUGCCAACGACUUCGAUUCUUGGUUCGACACAAACAACUGUCUAGGGGACCAGAAGCUGGUUGAGAGACUGCAUGCGGUUCUGAGGCCUUUUCUCCUGCGUCGCAUCAAAGCGGAGGUGGAAAAAAACCUACCUCCUAAAAAGGAAGUGAAAAUUUACCUGGGACUGAGUAAGAUGCAGAGAGAAUGGUACACUCGCAUCCUGAUGAAGGACAUCGACAUCCUGAACUCUGCGGGGAAGAUGGAUAAGAUGCGUCUGCUGAACAUCCUCAUGCAGCUGAGGAAGUGCUGUAACCACCCGUACCUGUUUGACGGGGCCGAGCCGGGGCCCCCCUACACCACAGACACACACCUGGUCAUCAACAGCGGCAAGAUGAUGGCUCUGGACAAGCUUCUGCCCAAAGUCCAAGAACAAGGGUCUCGAGUGCUCAUCUUCAGUCAGAUGACCCGCGUCCUUGACAUCCUGGAGGACUACUGCAUGUGGAGGGGUUACGAGUACUGUCGUCUGGACGGGAACACGUCACACGAAGCCAGACAGCAAGCCAUAGAGGCCUACAAUGCUCCAAACAGUAGCAAGUUCAUUUUCAUGUUGAGCACCAGAGCUGGGGGUUUGGGCAUAAACCUGGCAACCGCCGAUGUGGUCAUCCUGUACGACUCUGACUGGAACCCUCAAGUAGACCUGCAGGCCAUGGACAGGGCUCAUAGAAUUGGUCAGAAGAAACCAGUGCGUGUGUUCCGCCUCAUCACUGAUAAUACAGUCGAGGAGAGGAUUGUAGAGAGAGCUGAGAGGAAGUUGAGGCUAGACUCCAUUGUUAUUCAACAAGGUAGGCUGAUCGACCAGCAGUCCACCAAACUGGGGAAGGACGAAAUGCUGCAGAUGAUUCGCCACGGCGCUACGCACGUGUUCGCCUCCAAGGAUAGUGAGCUCACGGAGGAAGACAUCAACACCAUCCUGGAGCGAGGAGCUAAGAAGACGGCGGAGAUGAACGAGCGCAUGGAGAAGCUGGGGGAAGACUCUCUCAGGGACUUCACCAUGGAUAUGGGAGCAGCGGAGACCAGCCUCUACAACUUUGAAGGGGAGGAUUACAGAGAGAAGCAGAAACUGAGCAUGAUGGAGUGGAUCGAACCUCCUAAACGAGAGCGCAAAGCCAACUAUGCUGUGGACGCCUACUUCAGAGAAGCCCUGCGCGUCAGUGAACCCCGCGCCCCCAAGGCUCCUCGGCCGCCCAAACAGCCCAGCAUCCAGGACUUCCAGUUCUUUCCCCCUCGCCUGUUUGAGCUGCUGGAAAUGGAGAUCCUUCACUACAGGAAGACCAUAGGCUACAAGGUGCCCAGGAGCCCUGAUGUCCCCGGCUCUGCCCAGGUGCAGAAGGAGGAGCAGAAGAAGAUCGAUGAGGCGGGGCCCCUGACGGCGGAAGAGACGGAGGAAAAGGAGAAGCUGCUGACCCAGCUGGAACAAGCGAGAUUUCAAUCAGUUCAUCAAAGCCAACGAGAAAUACGGCCGUGACGACAUUGACAACAUCGCCCGUGAAGUGGAGGGCAAAAGCCCUGAGGAAGUCAUCGAGUAUUCCGCCAUUUUCUGGGAGCGCUGCAAUGAGCUCCAGGAUGUUGAGAAGAUCAUGGCCCAGAUCGAGCGUGGGGAGGCUAGGAUCCAGCGCAGGAUCAGCAUCAAGAAGGCUUUAGACGCCAAGAUCGGGAGGUACAAGGCUCCGUUCCACCAGCUGAGGAUCCAGUACGGGACCAACAAAGGCAAGAACUACACGGAGGAAGAGGAUCGCUUCCUCAUCUGCAUGCUGCACAAGAUGGGCUUCGACAAGGAGUGCGUCUACGAGGAACUGAGGCAGUGUGUCCGGAACGCUCCGCAGUUCAGAUUCGACUGGUUCAUCAAGUCCCGGACCGCCAUGGAACUGCAACGCCGUUGUAACACACUCAUCUCUCUCAUCGAGAAAGAGAACCUGGAGAUCGAGGAGAAAGAGAGAGCUGAGAAGAAGAAAAGAGCUCCCAAAAGCCAAACAGCUCACAAAAGAAAAGCGGAUGGAUCCUGCGAAGCUGGAAGAAAAGACAAGAAGUCCAGAGCCUGACCUGAAGCCUGGGUCAGAGCCUGAAGCCUGGGUCAGAGCCUGAGGCCUGGGUCAGAGCCUGAAGCCUGGGUCAGAGCCUGAGGCCUGGGUCAGAGCCUGAGGCCGGGUCAGAGCUGAGGAACACUUUGCGUAAUCAAUCAUUCAUCUGAAUCAUCAUAUUGAGGUCACAGGUUUGGUCGAUCAUAAAAAAGAAAAAGAAAUGUUAGUCAACAAAACACAGCUGUUGUUACUUGUCAAAGUGAGUGGCUUCUCUAAUUUUGUAAGACAUUUUGUAAAACUCUUUUUGCAGUUGUUUGAUGCACUUUGAAACCUAACAUGCUGUCGUGUCAGUCUAAAUCUGUUCUGUUGUUUUAUCCAGCUCCGGGCAUGAGAGGUCAUAAGCUAGUGCCGCUAAGGAGAAUGCCACAGAGCGUUAGAUGGCAUUUUGGUGGAUAUUGAAACCUGGCAUGGUUUCAUAUGUAACAUUUGCAUCCCCCGAGCUGGUGUUGUUUGGCAGCGUGAUGAAGAAAAACAGCUUUGUAUGUUUUCUGUUUUGUUUUUUGCAUUUGGCUCUUGCAGGUCUGUGUUCGACAUAUUCUCUUACGAAAAGUCAUUUGUAUGCACCUUGUAGCCCAUCGCUUAGUUUGCACAAUUACUGCUCUUACGUUAAAUUACAUUUUAUCUCACCUUUUAAGCUUAACUUGAGUAGUAGUAUUUUAACAAAACAAUGAUGUACCCUGCUUUUGCUAUAUAAUUUUUUUUAUGUUUGAGUUCCGUGUUAUUAAAACAAAACCAGACAAAUCUGGUUCUACGUUA